CAUGCAGCCCCCGAAUCUGCCUCCUCGUUACAAAUGACGCUACCGGACUCUCGAAGCCAGUCUUAUACAACGCAAACUCUCCUCGUCCCUCCCUCAUUUUUUUUUUCGCUUCAGUCUCAUUCGAUUGCUCUUGUUCAGGGACUCAUCUGCUGGUCCAAUUUGAGGUUCAUUCAUGCCAAUCUGAGACUGCUGCCUGUCAUGACCGGGCACAUAUUCUGUUGAUGGAUUAUAAAGGUGAUGUAUGCAUUCCUUGUUCGGCUCAUUGACUUGGGUUUUAUGCAUCAAAACAACUGCUAAAACAAGUUAAGAAGCUCAGACGCUUUUGGCUCUAAUGGGGAUGCCAUUCAGAGAGACUGGCCCUGUAACUGAAGAGCAAAAGAAGAGACAGAGGUCUCACUAUUUCAGUUCAAAGGGAAGAGGAAGAACAUGUUGCUGUCAGUUUUAUAUUUUGUAAAGUUUAGUCACCAAACUGUUAUUACAUUAGAAAUAUUGUC